AGCUUUGUGCAGUGGCAGUAAGGUAGCCAAUGAGGUUUAUUUGAGGCGCAAUUAUUGCUAAUUGAAACAGAUUCGUAGUGCACAGAGAGUGGGAUUUGUAGUUAACUACAUCUAGAUUUUUAAAUCCCCACCCCACUGUUUACCAGUUGGAUAAACUUGGG
ensembl:snRNA RNU4-74P RNA, U4 small nuclear 74, pseudogene